AUUGAACGCUAGCGGCAUGCCUUACACAUGCAAGUCGAACGGCAGCACGGGGCAACCUGGUGCCUAGUGGCGAACGGGCGAGUAAGGUAGCGGAACGUGGCCAGUAGCGGGGGAUAACUACGCGAAAGCGGAGCUAAUACCGCAUACGCCCUACGGGGCGCAGGGGGGGAUCGCAAGACCUCUCACUAUUUGAGCGGCCGAUAUCGGAUUAGCUAGUUGGUGAGGUAAAGGCGCACCAAGGCGUCGAUCCGUAGCUGGUUUGAGAGGACGACCAGCCACACUGGGACUGAGACACGGCCCAGACUCCUACGGGAGGCAGCAGUGGGGAAUUUUGGACAAUGGGGGCAACCCUGAUGCAGCAAUGCCGCGUGUGUGAAGAAGGCCUUCGGGUUGUAAAGCACUUUUGGCGGGAACGAAACGGUGCCGGAUAAUACCUGGCCCCACUGACGGUACCCGCAGAAUAAGCACCGGCUAACUACGUG
rnacentral:rRNA from 1 species